UUUUUUUUUUUUUUUUUUUUUUUUUUUUUUUAGGGCCGUACCUGUGGCAUAUGGAGAUUCCUAGGCUAGGGGUCAAAUUGGAGCUACAGCCACCGGCCUACACCACAGCCACCACAAUGCAGGAUCCAAGCCCCAUCUGUGACCUACACCACAGCUCACCACAAUGCUGGAUCCUUAACCCACUGGGCAAGGCCAGGGAUUGAACCCGCAUCCUGUCAGAUUCAUUUCUGCUGAGCCAUGACAGGAACUCCCCCCAUUUAUUUAUUUAUUUUAUUUUAUUUUAUUUGUCUUUUUGCCUUUUCUGGGGCCGCUCUUAUGGCAUAAGGAGGUUCCCAGGCAGCACACUUUUACCCUAAAUAUAUCAGUAUAUUCCCGAAAAACAAGGAUACUCUUAUGAAACGACAGAAGAAUGUUCAAAUCCAGGAAACUGAAUAUGAUACAAUACUGUUAUGGAAUUCGCAGUCUCUGUUCAAAAUGUCAUUAAUUGUCCCAAUAAUGUCUAUCAUAAAGGACCCCUGCCCAGCCCAGGCCAGGGUUUCACAAAAGGACACGUAUUAUAUUAAUCAUGAUCACUUGAGUCUCCUUUAAUCAGAAGCAUGUUUUUACAUUUCACUUUCUUUAAAAACUUUGAGCCAUUGUUUUGAGAAUGUCACUCAGUGUGGGUACUUAGAUAUUUUGUCGUGAUUUGUUGCAGGUCACGUAUCUGGGGCAGAAGACCCUCGGAAGUGACGCUGUGAUCGUCUUACGAACCAUAGCAAGGGUGACUUGACCUCGUUUGGGGGUGAAGGUAACUUCCGUCCUUUGGGGAAUGUGGCGUCUGCAAGGUUUCUCAGGUGCAAAGCUCCUCUGUGGUCCUUUCUGUUAAGAAGUAUCUUGGACCCUUGGAAACAAGAUGUUUCGUGGCUCCAACUUUCUACCCCUGGUUUUGGCCUCAGUCAACAGCUGUCAGACAAGGACUUCCUAACCUUGCCUUCCCUUCCACGUUUCUUUGUUGGUUUUCUUCAGCAAGGAGGAGUGUUUCCUUCCCGUUCACUCAGGGAAUGAGCAAUUCUCAGUUCAUUCAAUGGAUAACUACGUCUUUCUAUCCUUAUGUAUUUCGAUGCUCAAAUUGUACCUGAAAUGACCAGUGGAACAUCUUCAUCAGUUGGCUCGUGCAACGUCUUCGUCAGCACGGGGCUCCAUUCUCUGGUCACUUUCUUCCAUCCCAUUCUAGCCCUCACCUUAUACGUCCCUUGACACAGCCCUGGACGCAACUGUGUCGCCAAGGAAACCAUUGUUUCAAGCCAAUUUAUUAGAAUGGUUUGCAGAGCUCAAGAUGUGAGUUGUCACAGGUGCCGAGGCAGACUGCUCCAGGGCCCCUUCACCCAGGAGACCCGAGGACUCUGUGGCUGGAGUCACGAGUGCGUGUGCACAUGCAUGUGUUUGUGUGUGUGUGCAUGCACGCUCACAUGCAGUCAUUACACAGAUGUCCCAAUUCCCCUGCACACAAGUUCUUAAUCUCCGCCCUCGCCAUACUUGGUAACUCAGCUCUCCAUCAGAAGAGGAGAAAGUUACAGUUGCUUGUUCUUAAGGCAAUUACUUCUCUAUCCAAAAAUACUCAGAAGUGGUUGCCAAAUGAGUAGCCCAAAUGACCAGGACCAACAAAGCUCCUAGUUAGAAUUCAGCAUGGGUACAGCAUUUUUAUCUUCAAUCUGAGGUACAGAGUCAACAUACUAUGCUCAACAUUAUUUGGGCUAGUUUCUUGCAUACCUGUGUCCUGUGAUAAGUUUAACACUUUUUUCCCGUUUUCUUUUGACUUUUCUCGCUUCUACUCUUCAGGUCACCUCAUUUUUCUUGUUAGUGUUCAUUUGCCUUUGGACUCUAUCCAAUGCCAUCCUCAUCUUUCUGUCCUGCCCUCUGCCCACCUGUGAUUAACAUCCUCCGUUUCUACAUUCUGAGUUCUUGCCUUUCGGCUUCAUUGUACACCUCUUAAAAUAGCAUUUAUUUUAAACGAAUGAAGAUUUCACUUCCUACAAUUUUUCAUCUCUUGCAAGGCAAUGCUUUUCUGGAGAAUUCCCUUCCUCUGUUGGUAAUCUGUGCUGCCUUUUCUUUCCCUUCUUUUGCAGCAUCUUUGUGUGGCUGUAGCAUAGAAAGGCCCUUGUUCUUUUCCCAUCAUGCUGGUCAUGGGAGCCAGUUACCUGCAGGACUUCGUAGGAGUGACAGGGUGUGUCUCCACAAAGCCUAUUCGGUCUGUCCCUAGAACUCCACUCAGAGGUGCUUCUGCAAAAUUGCUGUUUCUAUGCAGGUCCACGCACAGUCCACCUCCUCCGCUUCUUUUCAUUGUGUCAUCUGAUUUUUGUAAUCUUUUCUUUUCUUUUUAGGGCCACACCCACGGCAUAUGGAGGUUCCCAAGUUAGGGGUUGAAUCAGAGCUGCAGCUGCCGGCCUACACCACAGCCACAGCCACAUGGGACCCAAGCCGCGUCUGUGACCUACACCACAGCUCGUGGCAAUGCCGGAUCCUUAACCCACUGAGCAAGGACAGGGAUUGAACCUGCAUCCUCAUGGGUACUAGUCAGAUUCAUUACACAGUGGGAACUCCUGAUUUCUAUAAUCUUUUUUUCACAUUUUCCCUCAGAGUGAGAGCCACGCUUCCUCAAACUUGGCUUUCGUUAGCCCUCUGGAAGAUCUGCAGACAUGGGGCUCUGUUGUUGAGAGCAUUCACAAAACAGUUGGUCUCAUAAAAACUGUACUUUCUUAAGAUCUUCGCCUGUCAUUUUUACCACAGGCCAGCCCUAAGGACAGCUGCAGGUGGGCAGGGGGGUGUCACCAGCCAUUGGCGGCCCCAGAAGUUACCCAGGCAGACUUAGGCGGUGGGUCCUGGUUCCCCAGGCGUUGUCCUAGGUUGAGUCUUUGGUCACAGCAUGCUCAUCAAAAACAACUCUUUUUACUAAAUAAACUGUCUGGAGAUGGGUGACAUAUUAUAUGGUUAUACAGCUGGACCGGGAACAGCAGCCCAGCUACCUAGAGGCAAGUGAGUUUGACACACUUAGAGGCCUCUGAUCCACAGUCUGGAACAAUUUUCUGGGUGUGUCCGAACGUUGAAGCAAGCUGCCCAAUCAGUCACUCACCCUGAGAGGACGGGAAGAGCUUUUUCCUUUGCUCAGAAAGGUUAAUUUCGAAGUUCUGGGGACCCAACUGGCUCCUGCAUUUGUCCGUUAAUAUCCAGAUAUUUGGAUAUAAACAAAGUGGCAAAAUGAAUGAGAGAAUGUUCACCUGAUAUUCUCAGAGGAGGAGGUGGGGUAUCCAACAGGGCCUGAGAAAAUAAUGCAGAAGAUAAUAUUCGACCUAAAAAUCAUCAUCUAUCGAUAUCAUUUCAGUGGCGACAGGCAUUGAUUGAGUUUAAUUAACUAGUCCCUUGGGUACUAUUAAAAAGUUUCUGUUGGAGUUCCCAUCGUGGUGCAGCAGAAGUGAAUCCGACUAGGAACCAUGAGGUUGUGGGUUCGAUCCCUGGCCUCGCUCAGUGGGUUAAGGAUCUGGCAUUGCUGUGAGCUGUGGAAUAGGUCACGGACACAGCUCAGAUUCUGCGUUGCUGUGGCUGUGGUGUACGCCUGAAGCUGCUGCAGCUCCAAUCUGACCCCUAGCCUGGGAACCUCCGUGUGCUGAGGGUGCAGCCCUAAAAAAAU
rnacentral:lncRNA from 1 species